GAUGAACGCUGGCGGCGUGCUUAACACAUGCAAGUCGAACGAAGCACUUUAUUUGAUUUCCUUCGGGACUGAUUAUUUUGUGACUGAGUGGCGGACGGGUGAGUAACGCGUGGGUAACCUGCCUUGUACAGGGGGAUAACAGUUGGAAACGGCUGCUAAUACCGCAUAAGCGCACGGCAUCGCAUGAUGCGGUGUGAAAAACUCCGGUGGUAUAAGAUGGACCCGCGUUGGAUUAGCUAGUUGGUGAGGUAACGGCCCACCAAGGCGACGAUCCAUAGCCGACCUGAGAGGGUGACCGGCCACAUUGGGACUGAGACACGGCCCAAACUCCUACGGGAGGCAGCAGUGGGGAAUAUUGCACAAUGGGCGAAAGCCUGAUGCAGCGACGCCGCGUGAGCGAAGAAGUAUUUCGGUAUGUAAAGCUCUAUCAGCAGGGAAGAUAAUGACGGUACCUGACUAAGAAGCACCGGCUAAAUACGUG
rnacentral:rRNA from 1 species